UAGCCGUAAACGAUACUCGCUAGGUGUCGGCCACGGUGCGACCGUUGUCGGUGCCGUAGGGAAGCCGUGAAGCGAGCCACCUGGGAAGUACGGCCGCAAGGCUGAAACUUAAAGGAAUUGGCGGGGGAGCACCACAACGGGUGGAGCUUGCGGUUUAAUUGGAUUCAACGCCGGAAAUCUUACCGGGACCGACAGCAACAUGAAGGCCAGGCCGAAGACUUUGCCGGAUUAGCUGAGAGGUGGUGCAUGGCGUAGUCGUGU
rnacentral:rRNA from 1 species